GAGGAGUCAAGGGAUACAGACUAUGGGAUCCCUUGGAAAAGAAGGUCAUCAUUAGUCGGGAUGUGACUUUUGAUGAGGAGUCAGUCCUACGGAGGUGAGCAGGCAUAGAGGAGUAGCAGGAGCAGGAGGAGGUCCAGUAGGGCGCUGCUGGACAGCUAACCUCUUUGAUUUUGCCUCUUGCAGGUACUACUGGAGGACAUGACAUUUAGGUGGAGCACCUACCUAAGGUAUCUCCACAGGUGGAG
rnacentral:lncRNA from 1 species